rnacentral:lncRNA from 10 species
GAAAAAAGCUAUAGGGAUCAUUUCUUGUCUUAGUCUAAGCACCCCUGUGGAGAAGAUCCAAGCGUGAAGCUUCCUUUGAAGUGAAUGGAAUCUCCACACUCAUAUCAGCUCUGAGGGUAUAUAGAGGAGAACAAGAAACUGGCCGCAUGAAAGCAGCUAUUAGCAUUUAAAUGAGGCUAGGCUUAAAAGAAAAUUUAUGCAUC